UACGUAGGGGGCAAGCGUUGUCCGGAUUUAUUGGGCGUAAAGAGCGUGUAGGCGGCUGGGUAGGUCCGUUGUGAAAACUCGAGGCUCAACCUCGAGACGCCGAUGGAAACCCUCCAGCUAGAGUCCGGAAGAGGAGAGUGGAAUUCCUGGUGUAGCGGUGAAAUGCGCAGAUAUCAGGAAGAACACCCGUGGCUAAGGCGGCUCUCUAGUACGGUACUGACGCUGAGACGCGAAAGCGUGGGGAGCAAACAGG
rnacentral:rRNA from 1 species